AGUGUAAAACUAAACUCACUCACUCAAAUGAGUUGUAACAACAGUGACCAUCUACACUUUGCAACCAAAUGAGCAGCUCUUUGUGUUCAACUGUAAUUUAAUUAAGUUAUGUGUUCCAUAUUUUUGGAGUUGUGUAUUAAAAGUUCAUCCUCUUCAUGUGAUUUUGAGAGGACAUGUUUCCUCAAGGCAGAACUAAAGCUGUUGUCACAUGCUGAUUAUUGUGUUAUAAGUACUCGUUGAGUGAAUCAUGUCAGUGUUGCUUGUAAAAUUUAGGUUAUCAGUAGUUUCCCUAAAAAGUGGUCUUCUAUAAGUGAAUGAGGAUUCAUGAAACAGACACGGAAGAUCCAUGAGACAGAUAUGAAUGAUCCAUGACACAAGACAUGAAUGAUCCAUGAGACAGACAUGGAAGAUCCAUGAGACAGACAUGGAAGAUCCAUGAGACAGACAUGGAAGAUCCAUGAGAGAGACAUGGAAAAUCCAUGAGACAGACAUGGAAGAUCCAUAAGACAGACAUUGAAGAUCCAUAAGACAGACAUUGAAGAUCCAUGAGACAGACAUGGAAGAUCCAUAAGACAGACAUGGAAGAUCCAUAAGACAGACAUUGAAGAUCCAUGAGACAGACAUGGAAGAUCCAUGAGACAGACAUUGAAGAUCCAUGAGACAGACAUGGAAGAUCAAUGAGACAGACAUUGAAGAUCCAUAAGACAGACAUUGAAGAUCCAUAAGACAGACAUUGAAGAUCCAUAAGACAGACAUGGAAGAUCCAUAAGACAGACAUGGAAGGUCCAUGAGACAGACAUGGAAGAUCCAUAAGACAGACAUGGAAGAUCCAUAAGACAGACAUUGAAGAUCCAUGAGACAGACAUGGAAGAUCCAUGAGACAGACAUUGAAGAUCCAUGAGACAGACAUGGAAGAUCAAUGAGACAGACAUUGAAGAUCCAUAAGACAGACAUUGAAGAUCCAUAAGACAGACAUUGAAGAUCCAUAAGACAGACAUGGAAGAUCCAUGAGACAGACAUUGAAGAUCCAUGAGACAGACAUGGAAGAUCCAUGAGACAGACAUGGAAGAUCCAUGAGACAGACAUGGAAGGUCCAUGAGACAGACAUGGAAGAUCCAUAAGACAGACAUUGAAGAUCCAUAAGACAGACAUUGAAGAUCCAUGAGACAGACAUUGAAGAUCCAUGAGACAGACAUGGAAGAUCCAUAAGACAGACAUGGAAGGUCCAUGAUGCAGACAUGGAAGAUCCAUAAGACAGACAUGGAAGGUCCAUGAUGCAGACAUGGAAGAUCCAUAAGACAGACAUGGAAGGUCCAUGAGACAGACAUGGAAGAUCCAUAAGACAGACAUGGAAGGUCCAUGAGACAGACAUUGAAGAUCCAUAAGACAGACAUGGAAGAUCCAUAAGACAGACAUGGAAGAUCCAUAAGACAGACAUGGAAGAUCCAUAAGACAGACAUUGAAGAUCCAUAAGACAGACAUGGAAGAUCCAUAAGACAGACAUUGAAGAUCCAUAAGACAGACAUGGAAGAUCCAUGAGACAGACAUGGAAGAUCCAUAAGACAGACAUGGAAGGUCCAUAAGACAGACAUUGAAGAUCCAUGAGACAGACAUUGAAGAUCCAUAAGACAGACAUUGAAGAUCCAUAAGACAGACAUGGAAGAUCCAUAAGACAGACAUUGAAGAUCCAUAAGACAGACAUGGAAGGUCCAUGAUGCAGACAUUGAAGAUCCAUAAGACAGACAUGGAAGGUCCAUAAGACAGACAUGGAAGAUCCAUAAGACAGACAUGGAAGGUCCAUGAGACAGACAUGGAAGAUCCAUAAGACAGACAUUGAAGAUCCAUAAGACAGACAUUGAAGGUCCACGAGACAGACAUGGAAGAUCCAUAAGACAGACAUGGAGUUAUCUGUGGUGUCCUGGUACACUGGGUGACAUCUGCUUCCAUGGCAACUAAAUUUGCUGUGUUAGCGCAAUUCUGAGAAGAAGGUUUACUAAUAGAAAUGUUAACCAGCUGUAAUAAUGGCUAGAAUAUUGCGUGAACCAGACACAGUCACUUGAGCUCUUUCACCACUGAGUCGGAUUUCACCCAAUUUGUAUGUGAGUUCUCUGUGUU
rnacentral:lncRNA from 1 species